AAAAAAAAAAAAAAGAAGAUUAGAAAAAAAAGAGAUUAUCACGAAUCCUACCUCAGCUAUGAACUUCUAUCACAGUCGCGACCUGUUUCUAGAAGGAUUUGGCAAUCAUGAUUGAAUCACUUUAUUCUGUUUAACACAUGCAGGUGCUUUGAACUCCUGGCAUUUCCGCAUUGGUGCAACGUCAAUUGGCAUCAGAUUAUCACCUGAAGGCUCCUUAGAAAACAAAGGCUUAUUGCGAGUAGUAGAAUUGCCCAUGUUCUUGUCAGUCAAUGGGCAACUUCUGGGAAAAAUAUCAUCCUUGGGUUUUGCUUGAUCCCUAGAGCUACAAAUGCUUAACGGCAACUUCUUUAGUUUCAGUCUUCCCCUCUUUUUACCGGGCGAACCUGCAUCUCCCCAUAUUUUCUCCUUUGAGUGACUUGAUUCUGCUUCCCCAUUAUCCAUCUCUAAUUGAGUAUCUUUUUCAUAUUUGGAUGUCUUCUCAUUUGCUGUACUUGUGCAUACCUCGCCAAUGGAGCCUUCAGAAUCCAAUUCACCUGCAACACCAUGCCCGUUGCACAUAGAAGAUAGGUUUCCUCCAAAUGCUACACUUCCAUUUGAAAUCCUAGUUCUCUCAGAAGUCGGUGAGCUCUUAGGCUUCUUAUUUUUAUGACCCUUGAAAUCAGAACUGGAAGGGUUCUUCGAAAUUCUAGGAGAGCUGUUCAUAACCCUAUGCAGCUUACGAGCUAAUUCUUCAUCAGCCCUAUAAUUCUCAAUAGGUUGGUGCUUUUUGUACAAAAGUUGAACCUGGACAUGCUUCUUCAGCUUAUUCCUUUGUAAGUUCCUCUCCUUGCUAGCUGCCUCUUCAGGAAAAGACGCAACUAAGGCUAAUGCACUUUUAGCAGCUGUCACAGCUUUUGCUGCAAUAAUAGCCUUCUCCUGAGCCGUAGCUCUUGCAGCUUCAGCAGCCUUAACAGCAGCAUCAGCAGCUGAUUUUGAGGCUUCUACGAUUUCCUCAGGUGAAAGAUUACGGUUAUUAUUAAAAUGAGAAGUCAAAAGAUUG
rnacentral:misc_RNA from 1 species